rnacentral:pre_miRNA from 1 species
UCAUAUAUUUUGUAUGGGAUGGGAUCGUUUGCCUAUGUUUGCCGCUAGGGGCGCUGUUCCAAACUGCAUACAAAGUUGGGUUA